CUAGUACGUUCAACCUGCGCGCGAAGACCUACGGGCACAGGGACUGAACCUCCAAUCACAAACCGCCAGGGAGUCCACCCCUUGUCAGGAAGAAUCUACGUGGCAGAAUCCCCAAUCGCCCCGGUCAUCACCAUGGCAACGUAACAGGAUGGCCACAAUUUGACCGUUGCGGCUGACAGGUCUCACUGGCGUAACCGCCAGAUUGGGCUAGGAUCUCAAUGAGCUGAAAAGAUUCCUGGCCCACUGUUGGCAACAGUCCUUUAAGUGUUGAGCCAAUCAUGAAGAAAUAGGGUGAAAAUUCAGUAUUUAAGCUGCCAUAUGAAGUGAAGAAAAAUGGACAGGGGCACCGCUAUCACCUU